rnacentral:rRNA from 1 species
GUAGGGGGCAAGCGUUGUCCGGAUUUAUUGGGCGUAAAGCGCUCGCAGGUGGUUCGCGGCGUCGUGCGUGAAAGACCCCGGCUCAACUGGGGGGUGUCGUGCGAUACGGGCGGACUGGAGGCCAGUAGGGGGAUGCGGAAUUCCGGGUGUAGUGGUGGAAUGCGUAGAGAUCCGGAGGAACACCAGCGGCGAAGGCGGCAUCCUGGACUGGUCCUGACACUCAGGAGCGAAAGCGUGGGGAGCGAUCCGGAUUAGAUACCCGGGUAGUCCACGCUGUAAACGAUGCGCACUAGGUGUCGGGGGUAUCGACCCCCUCGGUGCCGCAGCUAACGCGAUAAGUGCGCCGCCUGGGGACUACGGCCGCAAGGCUAAA